CAGUCGCCGCGGUAAUACGUAGGGUGCGAGCGUUAAUCGGAAUUACUGGGCGUAAAGCGAGCGCAGGCGGUUAGAUAAGUCUGAAGUUAAAGGCCGUGGCUUAACCAUAGUACGCUUUGGAAACUGUUUAACUUGAGUGCAAGAGGGGAGAGUGGAAUUCCGUGUGUAGCGGUGAAAUGCGUAGAUAUAUGGAGGAACGCCGGUGGCGAAAGCGGCUCUCUGGCUUGUAACUGACGCUGAGGCUCGAAAGCGUGGGGAGCAAACAGGAUUAGAUACCCGCGUAGUCCCUGUCUCUUAUACA
rnacentral:rRNA from 1 species